AGGUGUAGCGGUGAAAUGCGUAGAGAUCUGGAGGAAUACCGGUGGCGAAGGCGGCCCCCUGGACAAAGACUGACGCUCAGGUGCGAAAGCGUGGGGAGCAAACAGGAUUAGAUACCCUGGUAGUCCACGCCGUAAACGAUGUCUACUUGGAGGUUGUGCCCUUGAGGCGUGGCUUCCGGAGCUAACGCGUUAAGUAGACCGCCUGGGGAGUACGGCCGCAAGGUUAAAACUCAAAUGAAUUGACGGGGGCCCGCACAAGCGGUGGAGCAUGUGGUUUAAUUCGAUGCAACGCGAAGAACCUUACCUGGUCUUGACAUCCACGGAAGUUUUCAGAGAUGAGAAUGUGCCUUCGGGAACCGUGAGACAGGUGCUGCAUGGCUGUCGUCAGCUCGUGUUGUGAAAUGUUGGGUUAAGUCCCGCAACGAGCGCAACCCUUAUCCUUUGUUGCCAGCGGUCCGGCCGGGAACUCAAAGGAGACUGCCAGUGAUAAACUGGAGGAAGGUGGGGAUGACGUCAAGUCAUCAUGGCCCUUACGACCAGGGCUACACACGUGCUACAAUGGCGCAUACAAAGAGAAGCGACCUCGCGAGAGCAAGCGGACCUCAUAAAGUGCGUCGUAGUCCGGAUUGGAGUCUGCAACUCGACUCCAUGAAGUCGGAAUCGCUAGUAAUCGUGGAUCAGAAUGCCACGGUGAAUACGUUCCCGGGCCUUGUACACACCGCCCGUCACACCAUGGGAGUGGGUUGCAAAAGAAGUAGGUAGCUUAACCUUCGGGAGGGCGCUUACCACUUUGUGAUUCAUGACUGGGGUGAAGUCGUAACAAGGUAACCGUAGGGGAACCUGCGGUUGGAUCACCUCCUUACCUUAAAGAAGC
rnacentral:rRNA from 1 species